CACUGGCCCUAGAGCUGUCGGCGCCUUCCCUUUUCCUCUCCCCAUGUGUAGCCACAGGCUUCGGCAGCCAUCCUCCGUCGAACCCUGGUCCUCUGCAGGCCUCUCCCCGUGACACAAAGUCCUUGCCCCGGCCCUGCACUUAAUAGGUCCUUGCCAAGAAUACGCUGAGCUAGGACAAGAAGAUUGCUGACCUGGAAAUGUGGGAGAUGAUGUUGACACCUUUAAUAACAAGGAUGAUUUCAGAAGUUUAUUUAUUAGGGAGGGAAGAGGUAUAAAGAAACUUCAGUUAUCUGAUACAAGCUCAGUAGGGGCAGGUCUCUGUCACUAUCACACACAAGGAGGGAUGAAUUGCAAGAGGAGGAUUUUCAUGAUGGAGAGAAAAGAAGAUACCCUCUUUGGAAUCCAAGUACACUCAGCUAGUAUUUUCCAUCAUUUUGGAACCUAAUUUUCCCAUGAGACUUCCUAAAGGAAAGAAUCAGAAUCAACAUUUCAUGAAUAAAAUGCCAGAACUACAAAA
rnacentral:lncRNA from 1 species